rnacentral:tRNA from 1 species
CGUCCCGUGGUCCAGCGGCUACGACUCCUCUCUUACAAAGAGGGAAGGGGGGUUCGAUUCCCUCCGGGACGAC